GCAUUGGUGGUUCAGUGGUAGAAUUCUCACCUGCCAUGCGGGAGACCCGGGUCCGAUUCCCGGCCAAUGCA
rnacentral:tRNA from 1 species